rfam:Solanum lycopersicum cultivar Heinz 1706 chromosome 2, whole genome shotgun sequence.
CUUCUAACGAGAUAUUGGUGCGGUUCAAUUAGAAAGCGCACUUCUUUAUAUAUAGAACUUCGUUAUUUAAUUGAGCCGUGCCAAUAUCACGUAUUACUAU